GUCUAUCCAAACAAAUUAUCUUGUGCUUGGUUUUAUCAAUUGGAAAAAUGGAGAACCAAAUUCGCUUCACCUAAUAGAGAGCGAUUGAGUGGAUGGAUGGGGAUGUCGUACUUUGGAAAUACUUUAAAAUUUUCGCUGUGUUUCGAGAAGUAUUUCCAAUAGCCGUGUAAGUAAAUUUCAAAGUCCAGAAAAGAUGGGCCUAUUAGGCUGGACAAAUCAUUUUACCCUAAUUAUCCACCGCUCGUGCGUGCGUCAUGCGUUUCAUACAUUCUUAAAUUGGGAGUCAAAAACUUGUUAUAAUCCACUUGAACAAUAAUUCGCAAUUUUAAAGAUAGAUACAUCAUUUUUUUGGUUAACCAAAUUUUCAAACUAUUCAUCUUAUCUACGAUCUACUAUAGCUAAUGUGUAUAUUCCAAGUACUUUAUUAUAGCCUUUGGUACUCCCAACAAAUAAUUGAUUUUGCAUAUAAUCAUGGUUCACUUGUAGCUAAACUCGGGGUGACUUCUCAUCGUAGAUGGAGGCAAGAAUUCUCUUCAAACAUCUGUUGUAGACGAAGGGUCGCUCCAACAAAGCAAUAUGGCCUGCUUUCUCAAUGCACUCCAAUGUUGCUUUAUUUCCCAAUUUUCUGCCCAAAAAAAAAAGUAAUUGAAUAAAUCAAAUUCAAGCUUGAAUUUCGAUUGUUUUCUGGAAAAGGAAUCAAGUGGAGCGAAAAUGUGUCAACUAAGAGUACCAUCUGUAACAUCAGAAAUAUUACCGGAAGGGAAAAUAAAAAUAAUUCCUUUAGGUCUAUGACGUUUUUUAGCAAGAAAUCUUACAAUCACACAAAGCAUUGUUGGAUGAAUAUCGCGAAUUAAAUUUAACCAUAUUGUAUAUAAAUAUAUUAUGUAAAGUAUUCUUCUGGAUAUUAAAUGCACCAAAUUCAAAGAAAUGAGUAUUUUCUUUUUCAAAUAGAAAUUUAAGAGUUUUGUCAAGAAAGUGAAAAUCAAAGGAAAAUAGACUUUUGGACAUUAAAUGCACUAAAAUUUAUUGAAUAAAUAUUUUAUUUUUCAAACAAAGAUUAAAUGUUCUGCUAAGAAAGUGAAAGUUGAAGGGAAUCAGACUUUUUGUGGGACAUUAAAUGCGCUAAAUUUAGGUAUUACGUAGAAAGAAAUAUUUUUAAAAUGCCUAUACAUAUAUAUACAUAUAUAAUCAUAUAUACAUACACAACAUCAUAGAAUCCAUUAUUAUACUCAUAGAAUUAGGAUAUGCAUUUAUUAAUUUUAGAUUUUAGUAAUUAACAAAUU